rnacentral:rRNA from 1 species
GACAGAGGUGCCGAGCGUUAGGCGGAAUCACUGGGCUUAAAGCGUGUGUAGGCGGACUGAUAAGUACCUUGUGAAAUCCCACGGCUUAACCGUGGAACUGCUUGGUAUACUGUCGGUCUUGAGCCAGCUAGAGGUUACCGGAACAAAUGGUGGAGCGGUGAAAUGCGUAGAGAUCAGGAAGAACAUCGGUGGCGAAGGCGCUCUGCUGGACCAUAACUGACACUCAGGGACGAAAGCUAGGGGAGCGAAUGGG